GACGAACGCUGGCGGCGGGCUUAACACAUGCAAGUCGAACGGAAAGACCCUGCUUUCUUGCUCUGAUCGAGUGCCGAACGCGUGAGUAUCACGUGUGUAUCGGUCUCUUCACUUUCGGGUAACUUCAGGAAACUGGGGCUACUAUCGUAUAGCAUCUGCUGUUGCAUUGUGAGGGUUGGAAAUUUUCGGCGGUUGGGGAUGGACGCGCGGAUGAUCAGCUAGUUGGUUGGGUAGUGGCUGACCAAGGCUUUGACGGGUAGCCGGCCUGAGAGGGUGACCGGCCACAUUGGGACUGAGAUACGGACCAGACUCCUACGGGAGGCAGCAGUGGGGAAUAUUGCACAAUGGGCGGAAGCCUGAUGCAGCAACGCCGCAUGCGGGAUGACGGCCUUCGGGUUGUAAACCGCUUUCGCCUGUGACGAAGCGUGAGUGACGGUAAUGGGUAAAGAAGCACCGGCUAACUACGUG
rnacentral:rRNA from 1 species